CCCAAAUAGACUUGGAGGUCCGUGACUGAGUGCUGACUUUACAGCAUCGGUUGGCCGGCCGGCCGAGUCUUGGCGUUUCCGCAUUGGUCGUUGCCCUUUCAAAACGAACUGGCGCAAAACUUGGCGCAACUUUCUAUUGCGUCAUCGGGGGUGCGUUUACAGGUGCGUGUUGUCAAAUUAGCCCCUUUUGUAGCUAGAUUAACAGACUUUUCACACCCGUUUAGCGACUUUUUCGUCACAAAAAUAACCUAGCAACAAAUCUGGCGACUUUUUGAUCAAAGUUUAGCUACUUUCCGGAAGUAGAGGGGGGGGGCAGUAUCGCCCCAAGAGCGCGAGGCCGGGCCUUCCCUCCGCAGGCACACCUCUCUGUGCAUCUCAUUCAACUGACCGCACGGCAGCUGUCACAGACACGGACGAAAAGGCGACCAGCACCAUGCUAAAAGAUGUGGGCCCUUAGGAGUGUCGCUUCCAGCCACACAGCAAAGUACCCCAUCCCCGACAAACAACAAGUGAACCAGAGAUCUCCCCCUGUCCCAAUGCACUAGACACUUACAGCUCCAACACUGGGCAUAGCACUCCACUGCAGCUUUUGCAGCUGGGCUGCCCUGCCUCACUUGGAUGCAUCAACAAAGCUUGAAGUGGCCACUCUAAUCUGACUUGGCCAACAGAUGGUUUCGAGGGAAAAAAAAGAAUAUGAUCACAAUACCAACAUUUUUGUUGUAUUGAACAUUUUCUCUCAUUGGAUUUUUUCGGCAGAUUGUCUCAAUUUUUCAAUGUGUCUAAGCCCUUUGUUAGAGAGAGAUCUGUUAAAUCUGUCUUGC